GUGAGACCCCCCUGGGACAGGUGAGACCCCCCUGGGACAGGUGUGACACCUGCACAGGUGUGAUUGACCCCCUGGGGCAGGGACAGGGCUGGGGGACAGG